AGUGAACGCUGGCGGUAGGCCUAACACAUGCAAGUCGAACGGCAGCACAGUAAGAGCUUGCUCUUACGGGUGGCGAGUGGCGGACGGGUGAGGAAUACAUCGGACUCUACUUUUUCGUGGGGGAUAACGUAGGGAAACUUACGCUAAUACCGCAUACGACCUACGGGUGAAAGCAGGGGAUCUUCGGACCUUGCGCGAUUGAAUGAGCCGAUGUCGGAUUAGCUAGUUGGCGGGGUAAAGGCCCACCAAGGCGACGAUCCGUAGCUGGUCUGAGAGGAUGAUCGGCCACACGGGAACUGGGACAGGGUCCAGACUACUACGAGAGGCAGCAGUGGGGAAUAUUGGACAAUGGGCGCAAGCCUGAUCCAGCCAUACCGCGUGGGUGAAGAAGGCCUUCGGGUUGUAAAGCCCUUUUGUUGGGAAAGAAAAGCAGCAGGUUAAUACCCCGCUGUUCUGACGGUACCCAAAGAAUAAGCACCGGCUAACUUCGUG
rnacentral:rRNA from 1 species